rnacentral:rRNA from 1 species
UACGUAGGGAGCAAGCGUUGUCCGGAAUCAUUGGGCGUAAAGCGCGCGUAGGCGGCCCUGUAAGUCCGUUGUGAAAGUCAAAGGCUCAACCUUUGAAAGCCGAUGGAUACUGCAGGGCUAGAGUCCGGAAGAGGCGAGUGGAAUUCCUGGUGUAGCGGUGGAAUGCGCAGAUAUCAGGAGGAACACCAGUGGCGAAGGCGGCGAUCUGGGAAGAUACUGACGCUGAGGUGCGAAAGCGUGGGGAGCAAACAGG